CCGGUUGAUCCUGCCGGACCCGACUGCUAUCGGAUAGAGAUUAAGCCAUGCGAGUCGAACAUUUCUUAACUAUGUAAGAAGUGUGGCAUACGGCUCAGUAACACGUGGUCAACCUACCCUAAAGACAUGGAUAACCCCGGGAAACUGGGAUUAAUAUAUGAUAGGUCAUUUUUCCUGGAAUCGGUUUAUGACUUAAAGGAUUGUUGAGCAAGUUUGAUUAAUUGCUUUAGGAUGGGACUGCGACCGAUCAGGUUGUUGGUGGGGUAAUGGCCUACCAAGCCGAUUACCGGUGCGGGCUUUGAGAGAAGGAGCCUGGAGAUGGACACUGAGAAAAGGGUCUAGGCCCUACGGGGCGCAGCAGGCGCGAAAACUUUGCAAUGUGCGAAAGCACGACAAGGUUAAUCCGAGUGCAACAUGCUGAAUGUAGCUUUUGGUAAAUGUAAAUAUUUUAUUGAAUAAGGGGAGGGAAAGUCUGGUGUCAGCCGCCGCGGUAAUACCAGCUCCCCGAGUGGUCGGGACGAUUAUUGGGCCUAAAGCAUCCGUAGCCGGUUCUGUAGGUCUUAUGUUAAAAUCAAUUGCUUAACAAUUGAACUGCAUGAGAUACCACAAAACUAGGAGGCGGGAGAGGUGGACGGUAUUCCACGGGUAGGGGUAAAAUCCUCUGAACCGUGGAGGACCACCAGUGGCGAAGGCGGUCCACCAGAACGCGCUCGACGGUGAGGGAUGAAAGCUGGGGUAGCGAACCGGAUUAGAUACCCGGGUAGUCCCAGCUGUAAACGAUGCAAGCUAGGUGAUGCAUUAGCCACGUGUUAAUGCAGUGCCGCAGGGAAGCCGUUAAGCUUGCCGCCUGGGGAGUACGGUCGCAAGGCUGAAACUUAAAGGAAUUGGCGGGGGAGCACCACAAGGGGUGAAGC
rnacentral:rRNA from 1 species